rfam:Hordeum vulgare subsp. vulgare, WGS project CAJW01000000 data, contig: morex_contig_45359
GAACUACUCCCUCCGUCCCAAAAUUCUUGUCUUAGGUUUGUCUAGAUAUGAAUAUAUCUAGUCAAGUUUUAGUAUUUAGAUACAUCCAUUUCUAAACAAAUUUAAGACAAGAAUUUUGAGACGGAGGUAGUACAAA